UUCGGGUGAUAGUACGGUGGCGGACGGGUGAGUAACGCGUAAAGAACUUGCCCUCUAGACUGGGACAACUGUUGGAAACGACAGCUAAUACCGGAUAUUAUGAGAACCUCGCAUGGGGAACUUAUGAAAGCUAUAUGCGCUAGAGGAGAGCUUUGCGUGCCAUUAGGUAGUUGGUAGGGUAACGGCCUACCAAGCCGACGAUGGCUAGCCGGCCUGAGAGGGUGAUCGGCCACAAGGGGACUGAGACACGGCCCUUACUCCUACGGGAGGCAGCAGUGGGGAAUAUUGGACAAUGGACCAAAAGUCUGAUCCAGCAAUUCUGUGUGCACGAUGAAGGUUUUCGGAUCGUAAAGUGCUUUCAGUAGGGAAGAAAAAAAUGACGGUACCUACAGAAGAAGCGACGGCUAAAUACGUGCCAGCAGCCGCGGUAAUACGUAUGUCGCAAGCGUUAUCCGGAAUUAUUGGGCGUAAAGCGCGUCUAGGCGGCCUUUUAAGUCUGAUGUUAAAAUGCGGGGCUCAACUCCGUAUUGCGUUGGAAACUGGAAGGCUAGAGUAUCAGAGAGGUGGGCGGAACUACAAGUGUAGAGGUGAAAUUCGUAGAUAUUUGUAGGAAUGCCGAUUGGGAAGCCAGCUCACUGGAUGAAUACUGACGCUAAAGCGCGAAAGCGUGGGGAGCAAACGGGAUUAGAUACCCCGGUAGUCCACGCCGUAAACGAUGAUCACUAAGUGUGGGGGGGUCGAACCUCCGUGCUCAAGCUAACGCGAUAAGUGAUCCGCCUGGGGAGUACGCACGCAAGUGUGAAACUCAAAGGAAUUGACGGGGACCCGCACAAGCGGUGGAGCAUGUGGUUUAAUUCGACGCAACGCGAGGAACCUUACCAGCCCUUGACAUCC
rnacentral:rRNA from 1 species